GUGGAGGUAGAGGAUGAUUUCAAUUAGAAAUAAUGACAGCAAUAGACGCUUCCAAUGAAGAUAUCGUGGCCACCAAAGGACAAAGGCAAGAAGUUAAUUCCUGAAGUCGAGGUCGAGCAACCCUAAUCUGAAAAUCCAAAAUCUGAAAUGCUCCAAAAUCUAAAAUGUUUUGAGUGCCGAUAUGAUGCCAGAAGUAGAAAAUUCUACACCUGAUCUCAAGUGACUCAGUAAAAACAAAGAACCUGACAGGAAGCCAGCUGGCAAUGAAGUCUGGGAAAUAUCGUGCCCCAGCAUCACAAGGCAGAGAAUUGAAGAGUGAUAUGGAAUCAAGAGACAAUAAAUGAAUAACUGGCAUAUACACUGUGAAUGUUAGGGCAUGAAUAAAAUUUUGAGACCUCAUUCUAUUGAAAUAAUUAGUAAUGUAAAACACUCACUACAUUUUAAGCCAUUGUAUUUUGGUUAUUUGUUAAUGAUAAAUGGAAGAUAAUAUUUGGUGUUGAAGAGGAUAAGAACUGAUUAAAGAAUGACUUGGUUUACAAAACUUUUAAACUCUUUUCUAUCUCCAGGCAAGAAACUAAUUAAUUGAUUCUUGUACUUAAAAUAUAUUAGUGAAUAAAACAAAUACUUUUCAGUUCUCAUGGAACAGACAACAAUAAGCAUAACAAGUAAGUAUAUUAUAUAGUAUGUUAGGAGUUUAUGAAUGCUAUAGAAAAAGAAAAAAUAGAGAUUAGAGUAAGGGAGACUGGUGGAAAGAAAC
rnacentral:lncRNA from 1 species